UUGAACGCUGGCGGAAUGCUUUACACAUGCAAGUCGAGCGGCAGCGCGGGGGCAACCUUGGCGGCGAGCGGCGAACGGGUGAGUAACAUAUCGGAACGUACCCAGACGUGGGGGACAACUAGUCGAAAGACUAGCUAAUACCGCAUACGUCCUGAGGGAGAAAGCGGGGGAUCGCAAGACCUCGCGCGUUUGGAGCGGCCGAUAUCUGAUUAGCUAGAUGGUGGGGUAAAGGCUCACCAUGGCGACGAUCAGUAGCUGGUCUGAGAGGAUGAUCAGCCACACUGGAACUGAGACACGGUCCAGACUCCUACGGGAGGCAGCAGUGGGGAAUUUUGGACAAUGGGGGAAACCCUGAUCCAGCCAUUCCGCGUGAGUGAAGAAGGCCUUCGGGUUGUAAAGCUCUUUCGGCGGGGACGAAACGGUUCGUGCCAACACCACGGACUAAUGACGGUACCCGCAGAAGAAGCACCGGCUAACUACGU
rnacentral:rRNA from 1 species